UGCCUUCGGGAACUGUGAGACAGGUGCUGCAUGGCUGUCGUCAGCUCGUGUUGUGAAAUGUUGGGUUAAGUCCCGCAACGAGCGCAACCCUUAUCCUUUGUUGCCAGCGGUCCGGCCGGGAACUCAAAGGAGACUGCCAGUGAUAAACUGGAGGAAGGUGGGGAUGACGUCAAGUCAUCAUGGCCCUUACGACCAGGGCUACACACGUGCUACAAUGGCGCAUACAAAGAGAAGCGACCUCGCGAGAGCAAGCGGACCUCAUAAAGUGCGUCGUAGUCCGGAUUGGAGUCUGCAACUCGACUCCAUGAAGUCGGAAUCGCUAGUAAUCGUGGAUCAGAAUGCCACGGUGAAUACGUUCCCGGGCCUUGUACACACCGCCCGUCACACCAUGGGAGUGGGUUGCAAAAGAAGUAGGUAGCUUAACCUUCGGGAGGGCGCUUACCACUUUGUGAUUCAUGACUGGGGUGAAGUCGUAACAAGGUAACCGUAGGGGAACCUGCGGUUGGAUCACCUCCUUACCUUAAAGAAGC
rnacentral:rRNA from 1 species